GACGAACGCUGGCGGCGUGCUUAACACAUGCAAGUCGAACGGAAAGGCCCUGCUUUUGUGGGGUGCUCGAGUGGCGAACGGGUGCGUAACACGUGAGUAACCUGCCCUUGACUUUGGUGUAACUUCAGGAAACUGGGGCUAAUACCGGAUAGCAGCUCCUGCUGCAUGGAGGGGGUUGGAACGUUUCGGCGGUAGUGGAUGGACUCGCGGCUUACCAGCUUGUUGGUGGGGUAGUGGCUUACCAAGGCUUUGGCGGGUAGCCGGCCUGAGAGGGUGACCGGCCACAAUGGGACUGAGAUACGGCCCAGACUCCUACGGGAGGCAGCAGUGGGGAAUAUUGCACAAUGGGCGGAAGCCUGAGGCAGCAACGCCGCGUGCGGGAUGACGGCCUUCGGGGUGUAAACCGCAGUCGCCUGUGACGAAGCGUGAGUGACGGUAAUGGGUAAAGAAGCACCGGCUAACUACGUG
rnacentral:rRNA from 1 species